CCCUCGGGCUGGGAUGUGCAUGUGUGGUGUGUCCUGGAGACCACAGUGUGGGGUCUGCAGUAGUCCCUCAGGCUCAGGCACGGAGCUCCUCAGGUCCCGGUGAGGGCGGACCUCAGGAGGAGGCUGGCUCAGCCCAGGGCCCUUGCGCGUCCGCGGCAGCUGCAGGAGGUUGGCCGCCAGAGCUCCUCGGACAGCGGCAUCGCCACUGGCAGCCACUCCUCUUACUCCGGCAGCCUCUCGUCCUACGCGGGCAGCAGCCUGGACGUGUGGCGGGCCACGGACGAACUGGGCUCACUGCUCAGCCUGCCAGCAGCGGGGGCCCCCGAGCCC
rnacentral:lncRNA from 1 species